rnacentral:misc_RNA from 1 species
CAAGAAGCCGAAAGGCUACUUAAUAACCAUCGCGAACUUAUCCAAGUUGCUUCGAGCGGCGCGGCUCCCCUCACGGUGGGACCGCAGCCCCCGCCUCUCAGGAUGGUAAGGGGCAGCCGCCGGAGGUACGAAACUCUGUAUUAUAGUGGUAUCUCUGAGUAUAAAAACAAAUAAGUUAA